AAAGUGUUAUUUAAUUUAUUUGAUUAAAGGAUAUUAAUUAAAGUAAUCUUAAAAUAUGUAUUUUAGUAUAGUUUAUGGAACUUAUAAAGGGAAUGAUAGAGUAGUAGUACUGUAAAGGAAAUAUGAAAUAGAUGAAAUAUUUAUUUAGGUGAAAGAAGAAUGUAGUUUGUACCUUGGGUAUCAGGGUUUAUUAAUUAGUAAUAAUGAUUUAUAAUUCUCGGAUUGAAAAGAGUUAAAAUGGUAUGGCAGUUAAUGUGUUAUUAUUAUUGUUAAUGCUGUUUUAGGGAUGAAAUGUCAAACGAUUUUUAAGUUAUCUAGUUUUUUAAGAAAUGAAUUUAAUUCAUGUUAUUGGGAGUAAAUAUUUAUUUAAAAUUAAUAGUUUAUUUUUAGUAGCAAAUAUAUGAAGGGAUAAGCUUUCAUAUAAAGACUAUAAAUUAUGAGGAUUACCAAGAGAAGUAGGCUUUAAAUUAGCUAUCAAUGAGAUAAUGUUACAAAUUGUUUGGUGGUGGGAUUAUUUUUUAAUAAUUUUAGUUUGUUUAUUAGAAUGUUGUAUUCAAUAGGUUAAUAUAAGUAGUAAUGAUAAAAUGAGUAUAUAAAAGUGUAUAUAAUUUUUUAAUGGAAAUUUAUGAUAAGGAAUUAGGCAAAUUAUCACUCGCCUGUUUACCAAAAACAUCUCCUUUUGUUUACAUAUAAGGUAGGGCCUGCCCACUGAAAUUUACUUGAAGGGCCGCGGUAUUAUGACCGUGCAAAGGUAGCAUAAUCAUUAGUCUUUUAAUUGAGGGCUGGAAUGAAUGGUUUGACGAGGUGAUAACUGUCUCAUUAUAAUAUAUAAAAGUUAACUUUUAAGUUAAAAGGCUUAAAUUUUAAUGGAGGACGAGAAGACCCUAUAGAGCUUUAUAUAUAGAUUUAGGUUUGUAUUUAGAAGUUUAUAAAAAUUUAGAUUGAUUAUAUUGUGUUGGGGUGAUAUAAAGAUAAAAUUAACUCUUUAUUUAGGGGACAUUGAUGUAUGAAUUUUUGAUCCAUUUUUAAUGAUCAUAAGAUUAAGUUACCUUAGGGAUAACAGCGUAAUUUUUCUUGAGAGUUCAUAUCAACAGAGAAGAUUGCGACCUCGAUGUUGGAUUAAGGAAUAUAAUUAGGUGUAGCAGUUUAAUUAAUAGGUCUGUUCGACCUUUAAAUCCUUACAUGAUCUGAGUUCAGACCGGUGUGAGCCAGGUUGGUUUCUAUCCUUAUUGUAUUUAUAUAUUUUAGUACGAAAGGACCAAGUAUAAUAAAAAUUUUAUUAAAAUUGAAUAUUAAUA
rnacentral:rRNA from 1 species